AAUCUUCCACAAUGGGCGAAAGCCUGAUGGAGCAACGCCGCGUGAGUGAAGAAGGUUUUCGGAUCGGAAAACUCUGUUGUAAGGGAAGAACAAGUACAGAAGUAACUGGCUGUCCCUUCACGGUACCUUCUUAGAAAGCAACGGGUAACUACGUGCCAGCCGCCGCGGUAAUACGUAGGUGGCAAGCGAUGGCCGGAAUUGUGGGGCGGAAAGCGCGCGCAGGCGUUCCUUUAAGUCUGAUGUGAAAGCCCACGGCUCAACCGUGGAGGGUCAUUGGGAACUGGGGGACUUGAGUGCAGAAGAGGAAAGUGGAAUUCCAAGUGUAGCGGUGAAAUGCGUAGAGAUUUGGAGGAACACCAGUGGCGAAGGCGACUUUCUGGUCUGUAACUGACGCUGAGGCGCGAAAGCGUGGGGAGCAAACAGG
rnacentral:rRNA from 1 species